rnacentral:rRNA from 1 species
GGUUAAGUGACUAAGCGUACAUGGUGGAUGCCUUGGCAGUCAGAGGCGAUGAAGGACGUACUAACCUGCGAUAAGCCGUGAGCAGUCGGUAAGAGACAUUACGACUCACGGAUUUCCGAAUGGGGAAACCCACUUAGCAUAAGCUAGGUAUCGCUACGUGAAUACAUAGCGUAGCGAGGCGAACCGGGAGAACUGAAACAUCUAAGUACCCCGAGGAAAAGAAAUCAACCGAGAUUCCCUCAGUAGCGGCGAGCGAACGGGGAUUAGCCCUUAAGCAUCUUGGAAGUUAGUGGAACGGUCCUGGAAAGGCCGGCGAUACAGGGUGAUAGCCCCGUACACGAAAACAACCUUGAUGUGAAAUCGAGUAGGGCGGGACACGUGACAUCCUGUCUGAAUAUGGGGGGACCAUCCUCCAAGGCUAAAUACUCCUGACUGACCGAUAGUGAACCAGUACCGUGAGGGAAAGGCGAAAAGAACCCCUGUGAGGGGAGUGAAAUAGAACCUGAAACCGUGUACGUACAAGCAGUGGGAGCCCUUCGGGGUGACUGCGUACCUUUUGUAUAAUGGGUCAGCGACUUACAUUUUGUAGCGAGGUUAACCGUAUAGGGGAGCCGUAGGGAAACCGAGUCUUAACUGGGCGUCUAGUUGCAAGGUGUAGACCCGAAACCGGGUGAUCUAGCCAUGGGCAGGUUGAAGGUUGAGUAACAUCAACUGGAGGACCGAACCCACUAACGUUGCAAAGUUAGGGGAUGACCUGUGGCUGGGGGUGAAAGGCCAAUCAAACUCGGAGAUAGCUGGUUCUCCCCGAAAGCUAUUUAGGUAGCGCCUCGGACGAAUACUACUGGGGGUAGAGCACUGUUUGGGCUAGGGGGUCAUCCCGACUUACCAACCCCAUGCAAACUCCGAAUACCAGUAAGUAAUAUCCGGGAGACACACGGCGGGUGCUAACGUCCGUCGUGAAGAGGGAAACAACCCAGACCGCCGGCUAAGGUCCCAAAGUUCUGGUUAAGUGGGAAACGAUGUGGGAAGGCUCAGACAGCUAGGAUGUUGGCUUAGAAGCAGCCAUCAUUUAAAGAAAGCGUAAUAGCUCACUAGUCGAGUCGGCCUGCGCGGAAGAUGUAACGGGGCUCAAACCAGGCACCGAAGCCGCGGAUUCACACUAAGUGUGAGUGGUAGGGGAGCGUUCUGUAAGUCUGCGAAGGUGUGUCGAGAGGCAUGCUGGAGAUAUCAGAAGUGCGAAUGCUGACGUAAGUAACGAUAAAGGGGGUGAAAAGCCUCCUCGCCGGAAGACCAAGGGUUCCUGUCCAACGUUAAUCGGGGCAGGGUGAGUCGACCCCUAAGGCGAGGCCGAAAGGCGUAGUCGAUGGGAAGCAGGUUAAUAUUCCUGCACGACUUGUAAUUGCGAUGGGGGGACGGAGAAGGCUAGGUGGGCCAGGCGACGGUUGUCCUGGUGAAAGUGCGUAGGUGGUGUUUCUAGGCAAAUCCGGAGACACAACACUGAGACACGAGACGAACACACUACGGUGUGGAAGCCAUUGAUGCCCUGCUUCCAGGAAAAGCCUCUAAGCUUCAGAUUACAAGUCAUCGUACCCCAAACCGACACAGGUGGUCGGGUAGAGAAUACCAAGGCGCUUGAGAGAACUCGGGUGAAGGAACUAGGCAAAAUAGAACCGUAACUUCGGGAGAAGGUUCGCUCUUGACAGUGAAGUCCCUUGCGGAUGGAGCAGUUGGGAGUCGCAGUGACCAGAUGGCUGGGACUGUUUAUCAAAAACACAGCACUCUGCAAACACGAAAGUGGACGUAUAGGGUGUGACACCUGCCCGGUGCCGGAAGGUUAAUUGAUGGGGUUAGCGCAAGCGAAGCUCUUGAUCGAAGCCCCGGUAAACGGCGGCCGUAACUAUAACGGUCCUAAGGUAGCGAAAUUCCUUGUCGGGUAAGUUCCGACCUGCACGAAUGGUGUAACCAUGGCCAUGCUGUCUCCACCCGAGACUCAGUGAAAUCGAAUUCGCCGUGAAGAUGCGGUGUACCCGCGGCUAGACGGAAAGACCCCGUGAACCUUUACUACAGCUUGGCACUGAACAUUGAACCUACAUGUGUAGGAUAGGUGGGAGGCUUUGAAGGCGUGACGCCAGUUGCGCUGGAGCCGUCCUUGAAAUACCACCCUUGUAUGUUUGAUGUUCUAACGCAGGCCCCUGAAUCGGGGUCGCGGACAGUGCCUGGUGGGUAGUUUGACUGGGGCGGUCUCCUCCCAAAGAGUAACGGAGGAGCACGAAGGUUGGCUAAUCCUGGUCGGACAUCAGGAGGUUAGUGCAAUGGCAUAAGCCAGCUUAACUGCGAGACGGACAGGUCGAGCAGGUACGAAAGUAGGUCAUAGUGAUCCGGUGGUUCUGAAUGGAAGGGCCAUCGCUCAACGGAUAAAAGGUACUCCGGGGAUAACAGGCUGAUACCGCCCAAGAGUUCAUAUCGACGGCGGUGUUUGGCACCUCGAUGUCGGCUCAUCACAUCCUGGGGCUGAAGUCGGUCCCAAGGGUAUGGCUGUUCGCCAUUUAAAGUGGUACGCGAGCUGGGUUCAGAACGUCGUGAGACAGUUCGGUCCCUAUCUGCCGUGGGCGUUGGAUGAUUGAAGGGAGUUGCUCCUAGUACGAGAGGACCGGAGUGAACGAACCUCUGGUGUUCGGGUUGUCACGCCAGUGGCACUGCCCGGUAGCUAAGUUCGGAAUCGAUAACCGCUGAAAGCAUCUAAGCGGGAAGCGAGCCCUGAGAUGAGUCAUCCCUGACCCCUUGAGGGUCCUAAAGGGCCGUUGGAGACCACAACGUUGAUAGGUGGGGUGUGUAAGCGCGGCGACGUGUUGAGCUAACCCAUACUAAUUACCCGUGAGGCUUAACCAU